CACACCGCCCGUCACACCAUGGGAGUUGAUUGCACCAGGAGUAGGUAGCCUAACCGCAAGGAGGGCGCUUACCACGGUGUGGUCAAUGACUGGGGUG
rnacentral:rRNA from 1 species